UACAGAGGGGGCAAGCGUUGUUCGGAAUUACUGGGCGUAAAGGGCGCGUAGGCGGCCUGCUAAGUCGAACGUGAAAUCCCCGGGCUCAACCCCGGGAACUGCGUCCGAUACUGGCAGGCUUGAAUCCGGGAGAGGGAUGCGGAAUCCAGGUGUAGCGGUGAAAUGCGCAGAUAUCAGGAGGAACACCGGUGGCGAAGGCGGAUCUCUGGGCCUUACCUGACGCUCAGGCGCGAAAGCGUGGGGAGCGAACAGG
rnacentral:rRNA from 1 species